rnacentral:rRNA from 1 species
UACGUAGGUGGCAAGCGUUGUCCGGAUUUACUGGGCGUAAAGAGCGCGCAGGCGGUCGUUCAAGUCGCGUGUGAAAGCCCCCGGCUCAACUGGGGAGGGUCACGCGAUACUGAUCGACUCGAAGGCAGGAGAGGGAAGUGGAAUUCCCGGUGUAGUGGUGAAAUGCGUAGAUAUCGGGAGGAACACCAGUGGCGAAGGCGACUUCCUGGCCUGUUCUUGACGCUGAGGCGCGAAAGCUAGGGGAGCAAACAGGG